UCUACCAUGGCACUGCCCUCUGGAACCUCAUCCCUCUGGAAAUAAGGUUUACCUCAAUCCUGGUGGCCUUGGCCUCACUGAAACUUGUGGCCCUGGGUAUGUGACUAUUACUUGACUAUGCUGAGCCUUAAUCACCAUGCAGUUUCUAACAAUUAUGCUGCACAUCCAUAACAAAAUCCAAGGUUGGGGCAAUAGAUUCUGAACUUGUUCCUGUGACCCUUUAUUUAAAAUGAUCUACAACUCCUUUUAUAUACAGAGGGAAGGGGAAUAAUGCCCCUUUUCUGAUUUGUGGACUUCAACUCCCAGAAUUCCUGAGCCAGCUGGACUGAAUAUCCUUGGCAAAGGACACCAUAUACAGUACAUAUCUCUCUUUGCCUAUACUCUACAUUGCACUGCUUGUCCUGGAAAGGAAUAAUAUGAUCGGUAUGUACCUAUGGAAAUUUUUUGGAUAGUCAAAGGCUGCAGAUACUAGGAAGAGGCUGUUAGGGAAGAAAUUGAAAGUUUUA